CAGCCGCCGCGGUAAUACCGAGGGUGCGAGCGUUAAUCGGAUUUACUGGGCGUAAAGCGUGCGUAGGCGGCUUCUUAAGUCGGAUGUGAAAUCCCUGAGCUUAACUUAGGAAUUGCAUUCGAUACUGGGAAGCUAGAGUAUGGGAGAGGAUGGUAGAAUUCCAGGUGUAGCGGUGAAAUGCGUAGAGAUCUGGAGGAAUACCGAUGGCGAAGGCAGCCAUCUGGCCUAAUACUGACGCUGAGGUACGAAAGCAUGGGGAGCAAACAGGAUUAGAUACCCCCGUAGUCCCUGUCUCUUAUAC
rnacentral:rRNA from 1 species